ACGGGUACUUGUACCUGGUGGCGAGCGGCGGACGGGUGAGUAAUGCCUAGGAAUCUGCCUAGUAGUGGGGGAUAACGUCCGGAAACGGGCGCUAAUACCGCAUACGUCCUACGGGAGAAAGUGGGGGAUCUUCGGACCUCACGCUAUUAGAUGAGCCUAGGUCGGAUUAGCUAGUUGGUGAGGUAAUGGCUCACCAAGGCGAAUCCGUAACUGGUCUGAGAGGGAUCAGUCACACUGGAACUGAGACACGGUCCAGACUCCUACGGGAGGCAGCAGUGGGGAAUAUUGGACAAUGGGCGAAAGCCUGAUCCAGCCAUGCCGCGUGUGUGAAGAAGGUCUUCGGAUUGUAAAGCACUUUAAGUUGGGAGGAAGGGCAGUUACCUAUACGUGAUGUUUUGACGUUACCGACAGAAUAAGCACCGGCUAACUCUGUGCCAGCAGCCGCGGUAAUACAGAGGGUGCAAGCGUUAAUCGGAAUUACUGGGCGUAAAGCGCGCGUAGGUGUUUGUUAAGUUGGAUGUGAAAGCCCCGGGCUCAACCUGGGAACUGCAUCCAAAACUGGCAAGCUAGAGUAUGGUAGAGGGUGGUGGAAUUUCCUGUGUAGCGGUGAAAUGCGUAGAUAUAGGAAGGAACACCAGUGGCGAAGGCGACCACCUGGACUGAUACUGACACUGAGGCGAAAGCGUGGGGAGCAAACAGGAUUAGAUACCCUGGUAGUCCACGCCGUANACGAUGUCAACUAGCCGUUGGGAGCCUUGAGCUCUUAGUGGCGCAGCUAACGCAUGGCGCAGCUA
rnacentral:rRNA from 1 species